rnacentral:lncRNA from 1 species
GUCUUUUUGUUCCCACUUAUAAAAUGGGGUAACUCGUAGAAAGUACACGUGUCGUAUGAGUUAUGGAAUUAUUCUUACGUUGGUGAUAACGUUGCUGAUCUGUCAUAUUUAAAUAGUGAAUUUGUGAAGUUAAAAAUUUAUUAUGUACGUACGAAAAUAUAUAUAUAAAAAAAGUUGAAUAUAGUUUAAGAAUUUUAAGAGGUCAUGAUGUGGUCAAUGGGCGGUUUCAAUUUAGGGAAAUAAAGGAGGAGUUUCACUUUUAGAUUUUGAAAAAGUUUUUGAGUAGGUUAAAAUUUAAUUCGAGUUUUUAAAAGAGGGAGAAGAAUUUGAUAAACUUUGGUUACGAUGGUUAAAACGAUAAAUUUUUUAAUUUGUACCAAGAGCUCAAUGCAAGGCGAGGAUAGAAAGUUGUCUAGGCUUGCCAAGGUGAGAGGAGUUUAUGUGACCUAAAUCAAGUGAAGUCUAUAAGAACGAGAACAAAAUGCUUAUUUUUAUGAGAAAAACAAAACUUAGAUAGUUCAGACAUGUGAAAUGGAGGUGUGCAAGAAUAUGUCUAUAAGAGCGAAUCUAGGUUUUUAUCAAAUAUAGAAAAAAAUUAAGGGAGAAUUGAUCCCUAGUCCUCUAGGUAAAUAACUCAACAUCCAAUUAAAUGUUUCAUUUAACCUUCUUGUAGCAUGGUGCCAACAAAUACUAUAUAAUAUCAAUUUUACAAAAUAUAUGCACAAAAUAUAUAACUUUGUAGAGAGACCACAGAUUCACUUGCCUCAUUUUUAACAUAUAAAUUCACCCUAAGUGGUUCUGGUAGGAGCUAGGAGAGAUGAAUGUAGACAAAGAAGAACUAAAGGAUAUAUGGUUAAACUGGACAUAAUAUACUUUUAAUUGCCUGAGAACAUGAACUUAGAAGAGAAGUUAUUAAACCCGGUCAUUAAUUAGGAUUAAAAAUUAAUAAGUAAUUAAAUAUUACGUUAUCGUACUUUGAGGUAGGGACUAGCCUCCUCUUCUCCCUUUACUCUUUUUGUAAUAUUAUUUAUAAAUUAUCGUGUAGUUCUUAUAUAUUUUUAAAAUGUGUGUUACUAUAGUUGCACCUAUCUUGAAUCUUUUUUCUGGUAAACACUUAUCUUGUAUUUUGCUAUUUUAUUUUUCUUAUAAUUUUGUGUUGGCUAUACUUUUUUUAGUCGAGGGUCUAUCGAAACCAACUUAUCUCAUAAAAAUAGAAACAAAAUUUGUGUAUGUUUUAAUCUCUCUAAAUCUAAUACUUGUGAAAUUAUAUUGAGUAUGUUAUUGUAAUUAGAUCCUUAAUUAAAAUAUUGAUAGAACCCUUACAUGAUAAUCCUCACAUAGUAAAAAUAGUCUAAAAAAUGGAAAGAAUUCCAAUAAUUAUAAUCUAACUAGGUUCUGCUCCCCCAUUAAACUCUCUUUAAUUAUUCCUUCAAACUAAAGGAGUAGCAAUUACAUUUCUGAUUUACACGACUUCAUGCAAAUAAAAUAACAUAAUAAAAUAGGUGUUUUUUUAAUUAACUCCUUAGAUUUUGGUACAAAUUAAUCGAUCAAUUAAGUACAUAAACAUACUCUAAUAUUGUAUGCUUUGAAAUCUCAAUCUUAAAUAUUUAUAUACGCUUUGAAACCUAACUAAUUGAACUCUCCCUACGUACCAUCCAUUUCUACUAAAGAGUUUGUUAAACAACCAUUAAACCAUCUCAGCAUCAUACCAUCCAUUUCUACUAAGAGUCUGUUAAACAACCAUUAGAUCAUCUUAGCACCAAUCAUGGGUGCUGAGAAAUGACCUACGAUGCUGAAAACGAUCAUCGACAGCACCAAGACCCAAACACUCUAGGUCUAGUGACAUUAUUCAUCCACCAAGUCACAUUAUUCAUCCACCAGACUUGAUUUCCUGUCUUCUUAAGAGGAGAGUAGGAUAGGAGGGAGAAAGAACAAAUGGCUAAUAAAGAAAAUAUUAUGAUGGAGAAAAUAAUAAUAAUAAUAAUAAUAAUAAAGAGAAAAACUAAGAAUGGGUCGGGUCAAAUUUUUUAAGGGAAUACUUGGGCCCAGUAACUAAUAUUUUUUUCUUUAAGAUGUUGCUAGAAGGUACUUAAAAUAUUGGAGGGCUAAAAAAAAACUAAAAAGUUGUUUUAUUUCUAGAAGGUUCUCCAGUUUCGUUAAGUUUCCGCCAACUUCAUUAAUACUGUGCGUUUUUUUGUUCCCACUUAUAAAAUGGGGUAACUCGUAGAAAGUACACGUGUCGUAUGAGUUAUGGAAUUAUUCUUACGUUGGUGAUAACGUUGCUGAUCUGUCAUAUUUAAAUAGUGAAUUUGUGAAGUUAAAAAAUUAUUAUGUAUGUACGAAAAUAUAUUAAAAAAAAAGUUGAAUAUAGUUUAAGAAUUUUAAGAGGUCAUGAUGUGGUCAAUGGACGGUUUCAAUUUAGGGAAAUAAAGGAGGAGUUUCACUUUUAGAUUUUGAAAAAGCUUUUGAGUAGGUUAAAAUUUAAUUCGAAUUUUUAAAAGAGGGAGAAGAAUUUGAUAAACUUUGGUUACGAUGGUUAAAACGAUAAAUUUUUUAAUUUGUACCAAGAGCUCAAUGCAAGGCGAGGAUAGAAAGUUGUCUAGGCUUGCCAAGGUGAGAGGAGUUUAUGUGACCUAAAUCAAGUGAAGUCUAUUAAGAACGAGAACGAUAUGCUUAUUUUUAUGAGAAAAGCAAAACUUAGAUAGUUCAGACAUGUGAAAUGGAGGUGUGCAAGAAUACGUCUGUAAGAGCGAAUCUAGUUUUUUAUCAAAUAUAGAAAAACAUUAAGGGAGAAUUGAUCCCUAGUCCUCUAGGUAAAUAACUCAACAUCCAAUUAAAUGUUUCAUUUAACCUUCUUGUAGCAUGGUGCCAACAAAUACUAUAUAAUAUCAAUUUUACAAAAUAUAUGCACAAAAUAUCUAACUUUGUAGAGAGACCACAGAUUCACUUGCCUCAUUUUUAACAUAUAAAUUCACCCUAAGUGGUUCUGGUAGGAGCUAGG